rnacentral:rRNA from 1 species
GGUAACGCCUUGCGAGCGGCGCGGGGAAUACGGAUGAUCCAAGGGUUAUCCGGAUUUAUUGGGUUUAAAGGGUGCGUAGGCGGCCUGUUAAGUCAGGGGUGAAAGACGGUGGCUCAACCAUCGCAGUGCCCUUGAUACUGACGGGCUUGAAUGAACUAGAGGUAGGCGGAAUGUGACAAGUAGCGGUGAAAUGCAUAGAUAUGUCACAGAACACCGAUUGCGAAGGCAGCUUACUAUGGUUUUAUUGACGCUGAGGCACGAAAGCGUGGGGAUCAAACAGGAUUAGAUACCCGAGUAGUC